UUUCCAUGAUGAUAAACUUGUCAGUUCUGCUACUGAAUGUGAGUGCUGAUAAUGAUGACCCUGAGAAA
rnacentral:snoRNA from 1 species